UGCCAGCCUCCGCUGUACUCCUGAUUGUGCGAUCGUUAAUCGGAAUCACUGGGCGUAAAGCGUACGUAGGCGGCGUAUCAAGUCAGGCGUGAAAGCCCUCGGCUCAACCGAGGAAUUGCGUUUGAAACUGGUAUGCUAGAGUCUCGGAGAGGUUGGCGGAAUUCCAGGUGUAGGAGUGAAAUCCGUAGAUAUCUGGAGGAACACCGGUGGCGAAGGCGGCCAACUGGACGAGUACUGACGCUGAGGUACGAAAGCGUGGGGAGCAAACAGGAUUAGAUA
rnacentral:rRNA from 1 species